AAUGAUUUUAGUUUGACGGUACCAUCCCAGAAAGGGACGGCUAAAUACGUGCCAGCAGCCGCGGUAAUACGUAUGUCCCGAGCGUUAUCCGGAUUUAUUGGGCGUAAAGCGAGCGCAGACGGUUUAUUAAGUCUGAUGUGAAAGCCCGGAGCUCAACUCCGGAAUGGCAUUGGAAACUGGUUAACUUGAGUGCAGUAGAGGUAAGUGGAACUCCAUGUGUAGCGGUGGAAUGCGUAGAUAUAUGGAAGAACACCAGUGGCGAAGGCGGCUUACUGGACUGCAACUGACGUUGAGGCUCGAAAGUGUGGGUAGCAAACAGGAUUAGAUACCCUGGUAGUCCACACCGUAAACGAUGAACACUAGGUGUUAGGAGGUUUCCGCCUCUUAGUGCCGAAGCUAACGCAUUAAGUGUUCCGCCUGGGGAGUACGACCGCAAGGUUGAAACUCAAAGGAAUUGACGGGGACCCGCACAAGCGGUGGAGCAUGUGGUUUAAUUCGAA
rnacentral:rRNA from 1 species